UCCGUAGGCGGUGUGGCAAGUCGGUAGUGAAAUCUCUCGGCUUAACUGAGAGGCUGCUGCCGAAACUGCCAUGCUCGAGUGCGAGAGAGGCGAGUGGAAUUGCGGGUGUAGCGGUGAAAUGCGUAGAUAUCCGCAGGAACAUCCGAGGCGAAAGCGGCUCGCUGGAUCGCAACUGACGCUGAGGGACGAAAGCUAGGGGAGCAAACAGGAUUAGAUACCCUGGUAGUCCUAGCCCUAAACCAUCAGGACUUGGGGUUUGCCCUGUACGGGGCAAGUCCCGGAGCUAACGCGUUAAGUCCUGCGCCUGGGGAGUACGGUCGACAAGGCUGAA
rnacentral:rRNA from 1 species